UGGGGAAUAUUGCACAAUGGGGGGAACCCUGAUGCAGCGACGCCGCGUGAGCGAAGAAGGUUUUCGAAUCGUAAAGCUCUGUCCUAUGAGAAGAUAAUGACGGUAUCAUAGGAGGAAGCCCCGGCUAAAUACGUGCCAGCAGCCGCGGUAAUACGUAUGGGGCGAGCGUUGUCCGGAAUUAUUGGGCGUAAAGGGUACGUAGGCGGUUUUUUAAGUCAGGUGUGAAAGCGUGAGGCUUAACCUCAUUAAGCACUUGAAACUGGAAGACUUGAGUGAAGGAGAGGAAAGUGGAAUUCCUAGUGUAGCGGUGAAAUGCGUAGAUAUUAGGAGGAAUACCGGUGGCGAAGGCGACUUUCUGGACUUUUACUGACGCUCAGGUACGAAAGCGUGGGGAGCAAACAGG
rnacentral:rRNA from 1 species